CAGCCGCCGCGGUAAUUCGGAGGAUGCAAGCGUUAUCCGGAAUGAUUGGGCGUAAAGCGUCCGUAGGUGGUUUUGUGUGUCUGCUGUUAAAGCGUGCGGCUCAACCGCAUAAGGGCGGUGGAAACUACAAGACUAGAGUACGUUCGGGGCAGGGGGAAUUCCCAGUGUAGCGGUGAAAUGCGUAGAGAUUGGGAAGAACACCGGUGGCGAAAGCGCCCUGCUAGGCCGUAACUGACACUGAGGGACGAAAGCUAGGGGAGCGAAUGGGAUUAGAUACCCCAGUAGUCCUAGCCGUAAACGAUGGAUACUAGGCGUUGAGAGUAUCGACCCUCUCAGUGUCGUAGCUAACGCGUUAAGUAUCCCGCCUGGGGAGUACGCAGGCAACUGUGAAACUCAAAGGAAUUGACGGGGGCCCGCACAAGCGGUGGAGUAUGUGGUUUAAUUCGAUGCAACGCGAAGAACCUUACCAGGGUUUGACAUGUCGCGAAUCCUUUGGAAACAGAGGAGUGCCUUCGGGAGCGCGAACACAGGUGGUGCAUGGCUGUCGUCAGCUCGUGUCGUGAGAUGUUGGGUUAAGUCCCGCAACGAGCGCAACCCUCGUCCUUAGUUGCCAUCAUUAAGUUGGGAACUCUAGGGAGACUGCCGGUGACAAACCGGAGGAAGGUGGGGAUGACGUCAAGUCAUCAUGCCCCUUACAUCCUGGGCUACACACGUACUACAAUGCUACGGACAACGGGCAGCAAGCUAGCGAUAGCAAGCAAAUCUCAGAAACCGUGGCUCAGUUCAGAUUGUAGGCUGCAACUCGCCUACAUGAAGGAGGAAUCGCUAGUAAUCGCAGGUCAGCAUACUGCGGUGAAUUCGUUCCCGGGCCUUGUACACACCGCCCGU
rnacentral:rRNA from 1 species